rnacentral:rRNA from 1 species
GACGAACGCUGGCGGCGUGCUUAACACAUGCAAGUCGAACGGAAAGGCCCUGCUUUUGUGGGGUGCUCGAGUGGCGAACGGGUGAGUAACACGUGAGUAACCUGCCCUUGACUUUGGGAUAACUUCAGGAAACUGGGGCUAAUACCGGAUAGGAGCUCCUGCUGCAUGGUGGGGGUUGGAAAGUUUCGGCGGUUGGGGAUGGACUCGCGGCUUAUCAGCUUGUUGGGGGGGUAGUGGCUUACCAAGGCUUUGACGGGUAGCCGGCCUGAGAGGGUGACCGGCCCCAUUGGGACUGGGAUGCGGCCCAGACUCGUACGGGAGGCAGCAGUGGGGAAUAGUGUACAAUGGGCGGAAGCCUGAUGCAGCAACGCCGCGUGGGGGAUGACGGCCUUCGGGUUGUAAACCGCUUUCGCCUGUGACGAAGCGUGAGUGACGGUAAUGGGUAAAGAAGCACCGGCUAACUACGUG